UAUACUUGGAAAUGUAAUGCCAGUGGGAUGAUCUCGCCAGGCUCAUUCCCAUUUGACCGCGGCCCUUGCAAUGCAAGCCGACGGCUUUGCUCGACGUGCCACGUGGCCGUUUGGGGCCAGCCAGCGUCAAAGCGUGAAAUGAUUCCGAUGAAAUCGCCCCCUGCCGUCUUCACGUGUUCCUCCCUCAGCGAUGUGACAGCUCACCAUAAAGUACUGGCAGCCUGGUCUGCCAUCUCUUCUUGCUUACAUCAGAUGGCAGCGUUACAAGAGGAAGUGGGCCCGCAAAUGAACAGAUGUGCUUCUUGGAAUGAUAGGGGAAACUCAUCAUUUAUUAUUAUCACACAUAAGGAGGGGAUUUUCGGCCUGGAAGACGGCAGUUUGGGCCGCCGCCAAAAUUAUGGAAUGAGGGCAGCGCUCCCGUCCUUGUUAAUGAGCAAGAGCGUGAUGAAAGAGCUUGAUCUUGAACGUGCCAUCUGCACUCACUCACUACUGCACACAUGCAUACAUUGUAUACCUUAGAGGGAAAUUCUUUGCUAUUUAAGCGCUCUCGGCUAUGGCGUCAAAUGUUAAAACUUGAGGAAAAAGUUGAGCAAGAACACACAUGCACAGAGAUCCAGAUGGGGCCAUGUGUUAUUGCUGAAUAAUGCAUGUGAUGUAGACUUUAUAAAAGAUACAUAGGAAGCAAGAGCUGGCCACCUUUUAACACGCAGAAUGGAUAGAAUGGUGCACACACAAUU